GUGGGGAAUCUUGCGCAAUGGGCGAAAGCCUGACCCAGCCAUGCCGCGUGAAUGAUGAAGGUCUUAGGAUUGUAAAAUUCUUUCACCGGGGACGAUAAUGACGGUACCCGGAGAAGAAGCUCCGGCUAACUUCGUGCCAGCAGCCGCGGUAAUACGAAGGGGGCUAGCGUUGCUCGGAAUUACUGGGCGUAAAGGGCGCGUAGGCGGACAGCUUAGUCAGAGGUGAAAGCCCAGGGCUCAACCUUGGAAUUGCCUUUGAUACUGGCUGUCUUGAGUUUGGGAGAGGUGAGUGGAACUCCGAGUGUAGAGGUGAAAUUCGUAGAUAUUCGGAAGAACACCAGUGGCGAAGGCGACUCACUGGCCCAAUACUGACGCUGAGGCGCGAAAGCGUGGGGAGCAAACAGGAUUAGAAACCCCGGUAGUCC
rnacentral:rRNA from 1 species